GUCUACGGCCAUACCACCCUGAAUGCACCCGAUCUCAUUUGAUCUUGGAUGCUAAGCAGGGUCGGGUCUGGUUAGCACUUGGAUGGGAGAACUCCUGGGAACACUAGGUGCUGUUGGCU
ensembl:rRNA 5S_rRNA 5S ribosomal RNA